AGCACUAUAUUUAAGCCGAUGGAUGGGAACUUUCCCCAUUCUUGGUUACGCUGUAGUGCAAAAGAAUUCCUGACUCUUUGAUGCAUAGCUGACUUGCACCAUUCUGCUGUUGCAUUAUGGAGUUAAGGAACAUAU
rnacentral:snoRNA from 12 species